GUGUUCGUGUUGUAGAGGUUAUCACGUGUGCUUUACACGCAGAUGGUCCUCGGUUCGAACCCUGGCGGGAACA